CCUACGGGAGGCAGCAGUAAGGAAUAUUGGACAAUGGCCGCAAGGCUGAUCCAGCCAUGCCGCGUGCAGGAUGACGGUGCUCUGCAUUGUAAACUGCUUUUGUUCGGGAAUAAACCUCUUCACGUGUGAGGAGUUGAAUGUACCGAAAGAAUAAGGGACGGCUAACUUCGUGCCAGCAGCCGCGGUAAUACGAAGGUCCCAAGCGUUAUCCGGAUUUAUUGGGUUUAAAGGGUGCGUAGGCGGGUUAUUAAGUCAGUGGUGAAAGCUCCCAGCUCAACUGGGAAACUGCCAUUGAUACUGAUAGUCUUGAGUAUGAUUGAAGUGGGCGGAAUGUGUCAUGUAGCGGUGAAAUGCUUAGAUAUGACACAGAACACCGAUUGCGAAGGCAGCUCACUAAGCCAUAACUGACGCUGAUGCACGAAAGCGUGGGGAGCAAACAGGGAUUAGAUACCCUGGUAGUCCACGCCCUAAACGAUGAUCCNCUCGAUGUGUGCGACGUAACGUAGUACGCCGUCCGACGACGAAACGAACGUAAGUUAAGUUAGUUAGUACCGUUACCGUUGGGGUAGGUUACGGACCGGCCGACGGUUAGGUUAAACGUUACGAAGUUAGUUAAGUUAGGACGGCGUUGGAGACGUUCGACCGACGGACGACGACGACGGGAGGUUAAGG
rnacentral:rRNA from 1 species